GUGUUGUAUGAAAGGAGAAAAAAGAGCACUCUUGACAAGAAGGGAAGAGGCCCUUAGGCAUGACAACACACAUACAGGUCAGGCACUGCUACCCACCCAUCAUCUUCA
rnacentral:ncRNA from 1 species